rnacentral:lncRNA from 1 species
AGGGGACGCACGCGGGGACGCUGGGGGACGUGGGGGCGCCGAGGGACUUGGAGGGCGCCGAGGGACGUGGGGGCGCUGAGGGACGUUGGGGGUGCUGAGGGGACGCCCGCAGGGGCCGCUGAGGGACGUGGGAGUGUUGAGACACAGACACAGGAAGCAUCAACUCUGAGGCUUUGGCCAGGAUGUGAGCCCGACUUUCGCAGCCCCAACUGGCAGGCUGACCUCAUGUGAACUCCCUGGCGAUGGCAUCCUGGAGACACCCACAUGGCUGAGCUGGCACCAUAGGUGAGGCCACUUCCUGCGAAGGUAGCUGGAUGCUCCUGCCUGGAGCUGCCCCCGGACCACAGAGCAUCCAGGAGAUGAAUGCACUUCCAGCCCCGCCACCCUGGGGAGAUAUACAGCUGAGGUGGCAGCUUUGGAGCAAGCAGGGCAGAGAUGCUUCCCCCUGAGGUCCCUCCCAGCUCUGCUACCUUGUCACUCAAGCACUCAUAAUCCAGGUUCAGUUUCUGCCAGCACUAAUUUGGUUUAUUCCACAUGGCUGGAGCCACUGCGGGACUCCAUUUGUUCCGGGGCCACCUUCCUGUCACCUUUUACUGUUUCUUGAGUCAGCAAGAAAGGCAGAUCCGACUGAAGACUCCAGCACUCUCCUCAGCUGCAGCCCCCACAGAGCUCCGCGAAGUCCUUUCUCCCACAGGACAGAUCUGAGGCACCCACCAUUAGAAGAAAGGAGUGGAGAAAUGAUAUGCAGGAAGAAGGCCCAUUCUGAUUCACCAAUCGCAUGGACGCACUUUCCUACCAGGCUAGGAGGGAGG